rnacentral:rRNA from 1 species
GUCUGUGGCCAUACCACCCUAAAUAUUCCCAAUCUUGUCUGGUCUUGGAAGCUAAGCAAGGCUGGGCCUGAUUAGUACUUGGAUGGAAGACAAAUGUUCAGAACAGACUGCUCAGAGA